UACGUAGGGGGCAAGCGUUGUCCGGAUUUAUUGGGCGUAAAGAGCGUGUAGGCGGCCUUACAGGUCAGCUGUGAAAACUCGAGGCUCAACCUCGAGACGUCGGUUGAAACCGUAUGGCUAGAGUCCGGAAGAGGAGAGUGGAAUUCCCGGUGUAGCGGUGGAAUGCGCAGAUAUCAGGAGGAACACCAAUAGCGAAGGCAGCUCGCUGGGACGUUACUGACACUGAGGCGCGGAAAGCGUGGGAGCGAACAGG
rnacentral:rRNA from 1 species